AUUGAACGCUGGCGGCAGGCCUAACACAUGCAAGUCGAACGAGUGGCGGACGGGUGAGUAAUGUCUGGGAAACUGCCUGAUGGAGGGGGAUAACUACUGGAAACGGUAGCUAAUACCGCAUACCAUCGGAUGUGCCCAGAUGGGAUGAGCUUGUUGGUGGGGUAACGGCUAACCAAGGCGACGAUCCCGAGCUGGUCUGAGAGGAGGACCAGCCACACUGGAACUGAGACACGGGCCAGACUUCUACGGGAGGCAGCAGUGGGGAAUAUUGCACAAUGGGCGCAAGCCGUAUGCAGCCAUGCCGCGUGGAUGAAGAAGGCCUUCGGGUUGUAAAGUACUUUCAGCGGGGAGGCGUUACCUGCAGAAGAAGCACCGGCUAACUCCGUGCCAGCAGCCGCGGUAAUUC
rnacentral:rRNA from 1 species